rnacentral:rRNA from 7 species
AAAUUAAUAAUUACAACUUUCAACAACGGAUCUCUUGGUUCUGGCAUCGAUGAAGAACGCAGCGAAAUGCGAUAAGUAGUGUGAAUUGCAGAAUUCAGUGAAUCAUCGAAUCUUUGAACGCACAUUGCGCCCUUUGGUAUUCCAAAGGGCAUGCCU